ensembl:lncRNA
ACAGGUCUUUACCCCUCACUUUCAUUUCAGAGUACACAAGAAACCUGUUUGCCAAAUCUGACUUAACUACACGUCAUCUUUGAAGAGAAGAACUAGAAAAGAAACCCAGAGACACGUGAACUUGUAAGGCAUCACAGGAGAGGCAAAGUGAAGUGGAUCUGGGCAGAAGCACAGCAGAGCUGCCUUGAGCAGCGGUUUGCUAGAGAGAUGUCUGGCAGCUUCAGCUGCUGAUUUCCUCCACCAGGACCAUGAAGAUUUCAUCUGAGACCCUCCAUAACUCACUUCCCAACUCUGCAACAUCCAAAUAAACCCUUACACAGAAUGGUGACUGCAGCUCCAAUACCCAGUUUUCUUCUUGAGUGGAAUUUUGGUUCAGAACAGCAUUGCCUCCUGAUAAAUCCGAGUCCUUAGAUGAUCCCUCUUCAAGCAACCAAUUUGGAUAAAGUUGAGAAAGUGCUUAAGCGAGCCGAAGCUUAUCUCAUUUUCAACAGUCAAUUCAGAGUCUAAAGUCUCAUGGAAAAAAUCAGCAAAACUCAAGGCUCCUUAAUUAAUGAGGUGCUUUCAUAAAUUUUCCUCUUUGGUGGAAUUCUUUUCUGACAAGAGAAAAAUGUGGUGUUGAUGAUGUCUCAAGCCCUAAGAAGGGAUAAAAAAACUUGUACAAGGCUCUUCCCACACUCAAGGACGUUUACAUCUUUUUCAUCUGCUUGCUGUCUAGCACACUGAAGUGUCCUGCUACAGCUGGGGUACUCUCUAUCAGCUGGGAUCUUUAUCAUCUGGAAAAGUUUUACCAUUCUUCUGAUGGAAAACCUUUAUCCAGCCAUCAUGCAGAAAGGAUAUUUUAUGAUACUGCAAAGUGUUCUGCCAAAGCUUGUGCCAGAGUUGCUUGUCUUUAGAAGCUCAAGGGCACACAACAGCUUUUUGUGUGGGCCAUUGAGGAGAGCCUCCAUCUUCUCCCUGUUUUUUUUCAUUGUUUUCAACUUUAAAUCUCAAAGUGAAUAAAAAUUCUUCCUGAUC